GGGAAAAGAGAUGUGAGUGAGUUCAUGUGAAAGCGUGUGCGGAUGGACACGGACCGGGUCAAAGUCUCAUUCGGUCCUCAUAUUAAUGUUUGUCUGGAUCAAAAGCUUGUGAAAGCACAGGAGAAAUGUUUUUAGAGCCGUCAGAAUAAUGUGUACUAAAUAUGGCGGGGCAAUGCUGUCCGUCAGAGGCCUGUGUUUCCUCCUCACUCUGUUUCUGGGCAGUUUCUUCGGCAGCAUCUUCAUGCUGGGUCCGGUUCUGCCGCUCAUGCUGCUCUCGCCGGCCUGGUACCGCUGGCUCACUGACCGCAUCGUGGCCACCUGGUUCACCCUACCGGUGGCGCUGCUGGAGCUGGUGUUCGGGGUGAAGGUGGUGAUCACGGGCGACGGCUUCGUUCCGGGCGAGCGCAGCGUCAUCAUCAUGAACCACCGCACGCGUCUGGACUGGAUGUUCCUGUGGUGCUGUCUGCUGCGCUGCAGCUACCUGCGUCUGGAGAAGGUCUGCCUCAAAGCGGCGCUCAAGGCCGUGCCCGGCUUCGGCUGGGCCAUGCAAGUGGCCUCCUUCAUCUUCAUCCGGCGGCGCUGGGAGGAAGACCGCGCUCACAUGGCCAACAUGCUGCAGUACUUCUGCCACAUCAAGGAGCCGCUGCAGCUGCUGCUGUUCCCCGAGGGCACCGACCUCACCGAAAACACUCGUGCCAGGAGCGACGAGUUCGCUGAGAAAAACGGUCUUCCCAAGUAUGAGUACGUUCUUCAUCCACGCACCACCGGCUUCACCUUCAUCGUCGACACGCUGCGGAAAGGUGAUAACCUGGACGCGGUGCAUGAUAUCACGGUGGCGUAUCCGCAGAACAUCCCUCAGACGGAGCGGCACCUGGUUCUGGGUCUGUUUCCGCGCGAGAUCCACUUCCACGUGCGGCGGUACUCCGCGGCGUCUCUGCCCUCGAGCGUGGAGCCGCUGCAGCGCUGGUGUCAGGAGCGCUGGCGGGAGAAAGAGCAGCGCCUGAGAGACUUCUACCGCUCCGAGCCGCGCCGCUUCCAGGAGCCCGAGGCCCGCGUGCCGCCCUGCAAGAGCGAGAGGAGAGUAACGCUGAUCAAAGCUGCCUCGCUGCUGUACUGGAGCGGCUUCAUCACGCUCUCCUGCGCCGGCCUGUGGCUCUCCACCCCCCUCCAGAUCUACUUCCUGCUGAUGGUCAUCUUCUUCCUGGGUCAGCUGCGGGUCACGGGCGGCGUGGAGCUGAUGGAGCUGGCCUGUCACCGGCGCUGGAGCGGAGCCCCGGGGAAGCAGGACUGAGAGAUGAAACUAUAAACAUUGUAAACACAGCAGUCAUCACUGUGUGAACGUGAAUGUCGUCCUUCAACUCUUUCAGGUCUUUGUGUUUCUCAUUUGUUUUGUUUUAGUAGCUCGGGUUAUCCAGUUACAGCCAUAUUUUAAAGAAUUUAAUUUUAUUUGGUGUUUAGUGGAGGCCAGAGUGAUUAGAGCGCUAGUCUCCAGCAGCUGGAAAUGCUUUUAAGUCAGUUAUUUCUAUCUUUUGCUGUAGUGUGUCAGCAGGAAUCAUCAGUGUUUGCCAUUAAUUGUAAUAAUCCAGUGAGAUUUGUCUGAUCUGACCAUCAUCAGUUCGUCUGCAGUGACAUGAAGAAACAGAACAAACUGAGACUAAAUCCAGAAGAACUGUGUCUCCGAGACGCUUCUGUUUCUUCAUGUCACUGCAGACAGACUGAUGAUGGUCAGAUCAGACAAAUAUCACUGGAUUAUUACAAUUAUUUUAAGCAAAAGAUAGAAAUAACUGACUGAUUUCCAGCUGCUGGAGACUAGCGCUCUAAUCACUCUGGCGUCCGCUGUGUGUGUGUUUUAUAGUUACGGAACGCAGCCAUAGCACAUUAGCUUCGAGCGCUCGUGAAAAAGGAAAAGCCCGGUGUCUUGAAGCGCAUCAGGAGCGUGUCGUGUGUUUUCUGCAUGCAUGGCUGCAGGUGAUGCGACAGAAGAACGCAGAAGGUUUCUUCAGCUGGAAUCAACUCAUGUGACGUUCUCAGACAAUCCUCGUGUAAAUCAGGACUGAGUUACCCGUAUAAAACCUGACCGGCCCCUGGCCUCUGACCUCUGACCCCUGGUGUCCUGUGUGCGCUGUGCUCCUGGUUCUGUGGUGAUGGAGGAAGACCGGCUCACUGUGAUGGAGAUCUGUGUCUGUGUUCCUCGUCAUGUUCGUGUCACGAUCACUCAGCAUGUCGACGGUCACGUCUCUGGAGGCAGGAGGACAGCAGGGCAGCUCUGCGUCGGCGCGCUCCAGCUGAACCGUGACGCUGUGGACGCCGGCGCGCUGGAACAGCUUCUGGAUCUGCGUCUGAAGAGCCGGAUCCUGCAGGUCAGCGCACACUUUGACGUGCAGCGAAGCCACGUUCCGUCCUUUAGCUAACUCCCAGACGUGAGCCUCGUGAACGCUCGCCACGCCGGGGAGUUUGCACACGCUCUCCACUGAGACAGAGACACACAGCAUCAGCACCGCGACACGCCAACAACAGAAACCUUACAGAGAUUCCCUUCAGCCCUCGGUGGAAAAAAUGAACUUCCGAUGUUGAAAAUUACAAGUUAAACUACAAGAAAAUAUAGUUUAAAUUCACAUUUAAUUCAGUGCGUUACUUGCUGUUUCUUUGUCCUUUAACUUAGUGAAAUUUACUAGUAGCUGACUGAAAUCUCUAAAAAAGAUGUCCUA